AAUGAACGCUGGCGGCAUGCCUUACACAUGCAAGUCGAACGGCAGCAUGACCUAGCUUGCUAGGUUGAUGGCGAGUGGCGAACGGGUGAGUAAUGCAUCGGAACGUGCCUUUUAGUGGGGGAUAACGUAGCGAAAGUUACGCUAAUACCGCAUAUUCUCUGAGGAGGAAAGCAGGGGACCUUCGGGCCUUGCGCUAGAAGAGCGGCCGAUGUCGGAUUAGCUAGUUGGUGAGGUAAAGGCUCACCAAGGCAACGAUCCGUAGCGGGUCUGAGAGGAUGAUCCGCCACACUGGGACUGAGACACGGCCCAGACUCCUACGGGAGGCAGCAGUGGGGAAUUUUGGACAAUGGGCGCAAGCCUGAUCCAGCCAUGCCGCGUGAGUGAAGAAGGCCUUCGGGUUGUAAAGCUCUUUCGGCUGGGAAGAAAUCGCACCCUCUAAUACAGGGUGUGGAUGACGGUAUCAGCAUAAGAAGCACCGGCUAACUACGU
rnacentral:rRNA from 1 species